GUUUUGUGUGUAUUCAGAGUAGAGGAGUUUUAUGUAUGCUCAUGGUGUCUAGAUGAGAAUUUAGGUGUACAUUUUUGGUAUGAGGAAUUUGGAGGCAGAGGGAUGGCUGGGUGUAUUUGGUGUUACGAGCUAUAUGUAUGUAAUGUGAGAAUAUGGACAGAAUAUAGUUUUCAUGAUGGAGGCUUGUGUAUGUUUGUAUUUGGAUCUGUGAGUACAUUGUGGAUGUAUUAUUCAGGCAUCUGGAUGUUUGAGUUUGUGUAAUCUGGACAGUGUGAAUUUAUUCAGGAAAUGUGAUAGUUGUGUGUCCAUUCUAGAGCGGUGAGUGUGUGGUCUGUGCUUCUACCAGGGGAGUAGAGGAUAAUUUCCUUUUAUUUCCUAUUUUUAUAGCAUUUUAUGUAACUCAUAAAACUGUCUGCCUAAAAAUUCAUACAGAGUUGCUAGAGAGCAUACGAUUUCCAAAAAUGUCCUGGGUUUUUUGUUUCAUUAAGUUUUUCUAAGGAUGCACUCAAGUCAGUGGUAAAAUGCAGACAUUAUGCAAUACUUCAUUGUCUUUAACAAAUUAUUCUCAUUAUUUUAUCUCCACAGUUUCAACCCUGAUACCCACUUUGUGCAGGGUUUGCUAGAACUAGGAUGUCAGAAAACCAUUAAGGCAGGAUCGAUCUACAAGAGUUUUCCUUCUAAUAGGCCCUUCUGCUGCAGAUCUGCUGGAGUUUGCUGGAGGUCCACUCCAGAACUUUUGCCUGGAUAUCACCAACAGAGGCCUCAGAACAUCAAAGAUUGCUGCCUGUUCCUUUCUCUAGAAGCUUUGUCUCAGAGGGGCACCUGUCAGAUGUCAGCUGGAGCUCUCCUAUAUGAGGUUUCUAUUGCAGCCAUACCUAAUCCUGACUGA
rnacentral:lncRNA from 13 species